rnacentral:SRP_RNA from 1 species
GCCGGGCACGGUGGCACAUGCCUGUAGUCCCAGCUACUCAGGAGGCUGAGGUGGGAGGAUCGCUUGAGCCCAGGACUUCUGUGCUAUAGUGCGCUAUGCCGAUCAGGUGUCUGCACUAAGUUCAGCAUCAAUAUGGUGAUCUCCCAGGAGUCGGGGACCACCAGGUUGCCUAAGGAGGGGUGAACAGGCCCAGUUCGGAAAGGGAGCAGGUCAAACUCCCAUGCUGAUCAGUAGUGGGAUUGCACCUGUGAGUAGCCACUGCACUCCAGCCUGGGCAACAUAGCGAGACCCCAUCUCU